rnacentral:rRNA from 1 species
AGCGAACGCUGGCGGCAGGCUUAACACAUGCAAGUCGAGCGCCCCGCAAGGGGAGCGGCAGACGGGUGAGUAACGCGUGGGAACGUGCCCUUCGGUCUGGAAUAACCCAGGGAAACUUGGGCUAAUACCGGAUAAGUCCGAAAGGAGAAAGAGUUAUCGCCGAAGGAUCGGCCCGCGGAAGAUUAGCUAGUUGGGGAGGUAGCGGCACACCAAGGCCAAGAUCUUUAGCUGUUCUGAGAGGAAGAUCAGCCACACUGGGACUGAGACACGGCCCAGACUCCUACGGGAGGCAGCAGUGGGGAAUAUUGGACAAUGGGCGCAAGCCUGAUCCAGCCAUGCCGCGUGAGUGAUGAAGGCCUUAGGGUUGUAAAGCUCUUUUACCAGGGAAGAUAAUGACGGUACCUGGAGAAUAAGCCCCGGCUAACUUCGUGCCAGCCGCCGCGGUAACAC